GAGCCGAAAACCAGGUUACUGGCUUUCUUAGGGGAAAAACACCUGCCGGGCAGUCUCGCAAGGGAGAACAGCAAGCCGUGCAGAGGUGUAAGCGGCUGCUAGCCCAGGGCGUGUUGCUUCAGAGGAUGCUCUUUUCUCUGAAGGAUCCAGAACCCUUCUCUUCUGCAGUUUAAGAUUCAAGGACAUUUACCAGUUCCCACUCACGGUCAAGCCAUCCAGCCCAUGUUCAAGAAAAACAACUUGAAAGGCACACACUCACACAGGCUGCAGCAACUGGGCUACUCACCCACAAGCCGAUCAGCGAGGCUGACAGGCUGCGAGGACACUCCUGCCUUGUAUCCUGUCACCUCUGGAGGAAUGAUGAGCGCCUGGCAGACGUAGGCUGUGAUGGAUUUGGAGGAACCUGACUCCCCCUCAGGAAUCCGGAGGCCACUGCCCAGAUGCCAAAUAACCCUUGGGACCAGACGGUCACAGAUCUCCCUUACCCAUCUCUUGAAGAUGAGGCUUGUUCACGACUGAGGCCUAGCCCCUGACAACCAACUUCUACAGGUAAGAACGUGCCAUCCAUGGUCACAGCCUGGAUGGGUGUCCUCCAGGACUCCACCCUGGGAGUAUGCUAUGGGGGACAUUUGGGGAUCAGCCCCUCCAAAACCCCAUCUAGGACCUGGCACCCUCUGAGGCUGAGGUG